AGUUUCGUGGUCGAGUGGUAAGAACACUUAUCUCUCACUCUGGAAUCCGGGGUUCGAUCCCCGGUUGGGGAGCUA